AUGGAUCCAUUAUCACCCAACUUAAUGGGAGGCUAUGAUUUAGUUAUCACCAUAACUAUCUCAUUUUAGGGAUCUAAUAAUUUAGAAGAUUUAAUUUUGAUUAAGAAAAGAGAAGAGAAGAGAUCAAUCAGCAAAUCGCAAUCCUCCCACUGACUUCACUAAGUCAUUGAAUUGGAUUAGGAUCAUGCUGAUUGAAAUGGCAUCG
rnacentral:lncRNA from 1 species